UACGGGGGGGGCAAGCGUUGUUCGGAAUUACUGGGCGUAAAGGGCUCGUAGGCGGCCAACUAAGUCGGACGUGAAAUCCCUCGGCUUAACCGGGGAACUGCGUCCGAUACUGGAUGGCUUGAGUUUGGGAGAGGGAUGCGGAAUUCCAGGUGUAGCGGUGAAAUGCGUAGAUAUCAGGAGGAACACCGGUGGCGAAGGCGGCUAUCUGGACAGAAACUGACGCUGAGGCGCGAAAGCUAGGGGAGCAAACAGG
rnacentral:rRNA from 1 species